rnacentral:rRNA from 1 species
UGGACUAGGGGCCCUUCUCGGGUUACCGAAUUCAGAUAAACUCCGAAUGCCAUGUACUUAUACUCGGGAGUCAGACUGCGAGUGAUAAGAUCCGUAGUCGAAAGGGAAACAGCCCAGACCACCAGUUAAGGUCCCCAAAUAUAUGUUAAGUGGAAAAGGAUGUGGGGUUGCUUAGACAACCAGGAUGUUGGCUUAGAAGCAGCCACCAUUGAAAGAGUGCGUAAUAGCUCACUGGUCGAGUGACCCCGCGCCGAAAAUGUACCGGGGCUAAACAUAUUACCGAAACUGUGGAUGAACCUCUUUAGAGGUUCGUGGUAGGAGAGCGUUCUAAGGGCGGUGAAGUCAGACCGGAAGGACUGGUGGAGCGCUUAGAAGUGAGAAUGCCGGUAUGAGUAGCGAAAGAAGGGUGAGAAUCCCUUCCACCGAAUAUCUAAGGUUUCCUGAGGAAGGCUCGUCCGCUCAGGGUUAGUCGGGACCUAAGCCGAGGCCGAUAGGCGUAGGCGAUGGACAACAGGUAGAGAUUCCUGUACCAGUGCUAAUUGUUUAACCGAUGGGGUGACACAGAAGGAUAGGGAAUCGCACGAAUGGAAAUGUGCGUCCAAGCAGUGAGUGUGAGAAGUAGGCAAAUCCGCUUCUCGCGAAGCAUGAGCUGUGAUGGGGAAGGAAAUUAAGUACGGAAGUUCCUGAUUUCACGCUGUCAAGAAAAGCCUCUAGGAAGAGUAGUACUGCCCGUACCGCAAACCGACACAGGUAGAUGAGGAGAGAAUCCUAAGGUGAGCGAGAGAACUCUCGUUAAGGAACUCGGCAAAAUGACCCCGUAACUUCGGGAGAAGGGGUGCUCUAUUAGGGUGCAAGCCCGAGAGAGCCGCAGUGAAUAGGCCCAGGCGACUGUUUAGCAAAAACACAGGUCUCUGCAAAACCGUAAGGUGACGUAUAGGGGCUGACGCCUGCCCGGUGCUGGAAGGUUAAGAGGAGUGCUUAGCUUCGGCGAAGGUACGAAUUGAAGCCCCAGUAAACGGCGGCCGUAACUAUAACGGUCCUAAGGUAGCGAAAUUCCUUGUCGGGUAAGUUCCGACCCGCACGAAAGGCGCAACGAUCUGGGCACUGUCUCAACGAGAGACUCGGUGAAAUUAUAGUACCUGUGAAGAUGCAGGUUACCCGCGACAGGACGGAAAGACCCCGUGGAGCUUUACUGCAACCUGAUAUGGAAUGUUUGUACCGCUUGUACAGGAUAGGUAGGAGCCGAAGAGACGUGUGCGCUAGCAUACGAGGAGGCAAUGGUGGGAUACUACCCUGGCUGUAUGACCAUUCUAACCCGCCACGCUUAGCGCGUGGGGAGACAGUGUCAGGUGGGCAGUUUGACUGGGGCGGUCGCCUCCUAAAGAGUAACGGAGGCGCCCAAAGGUUCCCUC